UACGUAGGGCGCAAGCGUUGUCCGGAAUUAUUGGGCGUAAAGAGCUCGUAGGCGGCCUGUUGCGUCCGCUGUGAAAUCCCGGGGCUCAACCCCGGGCCUGCAGUGGAUACGGGCUGGCUGGAGGCAGGCAGGGGAGAACGGAAUUCCUGGUGUAGCGGUGAAAUGCGCAGAUAUCAGGAGGAACACCGGUGGCGAAGGCGGUUCUCUGGGAAGUAACUGACGCUGAGAAGCGAAAGCAUGGGUAGCAAACAGG
rnacentral:rRNA from 1 species